GUUCAAACUAACCUGUAAAUCUAAAGACAGAGAAGCUAGGAAUGGCAUAUUUUGCGGGAGAAUAGGUAAUGGAGCUUCCAAGUUUAGUACCUUAAUCACUUUCUUUAUAGAUGGUCUUGAUGUGUUAUCUGGAUUAGCACACCAAAGUCCAACUAUUCUAAUUGCUUCACAUCAUAUACCCCCACAUAGCUUUGGAUCUACUGCUACAGUUAGAUUUCUCAAUCCAUAUAGCUCCCAGACCCACUCAACUAAUGGAACUUCACCCUCCAGUUCUUGGUGGAGUAUGGCUUUUUUCCCACAGGCUAUCUCCAACAAAACAAUCCCAAAACUGAAUAUGUCAGAUUCCUUUCUAGCCUUGCCCGUGUCCAUGUAUUCAGGUGCUAGGUAG